rnacentral:sRNA from 1 species
GAGGGGGGUUUAAUCUGGACUGAAUUGGAGGAAAGGAACUGGCACCAGAGUGGAGGCUGGAAGGAUGGUGGAACUGACACUGGGACAGAACACAGAAAACAGAAUAUAAUGCUAGAGGAGGUCUGAUGGCCGGGAGGAUGGGAAGAAGGAACCCACAAUGAAGCAAAAGUCACGUUUAACUCUGUCCUCACCAUUCCUCUCCUGGGCCUGUCCUAAACUGGAAGCUGGGGGAGGAUGGAGUGCUGGAAUGCUGUAGAAGUCUCAUGGGAGGGCGCCUGGUGUUCACCACAUGUGUACACUGUUGCACGACCAGAUGAAAAUUUGAAUGCUGGGGCUCAGUGGAACACCUGAAGGAAGCUGGUGAGGCAGAUGUCCCGCCAUGCCUUCCAAGUGUCAUGCAACCAGUUCAUGCCUGUCAGCAUCUCUACCGGUAGACUCUGUGAGUCAGCAAAUCUACAGAGCAGAGAGCCACAGGUGGGGACAGAUGUGGUCAAAUGCCAUUUAAAUCAGUGAUUCUCAGCCCAGGAGUUGUCGUGGCACUGGCCUUGAGUGAGCUGGACCAAGCAAAGCGGUAGAAUUCCCCAUAAAGGACCAAGUGAGCAGAUAGAAGUUUCUCCAUUUUAACUUUUUCUGAGUCAAUUUAACAAACAACCUAGUGCCUUUUUCUGU